GAUGAACGCUGGCGGCGUGCCUAAUACAUGCCAGUCGAGCGAACAGACGAGGAGCUUGCUCCUCUGACGUUAGCGGCGGACGGGUGAGUAACACGUGGAUAACCUACCUAUAAGACUGGGAUAACUUCGGGAAACCGGAGCUAAUACCGGAUAAUAUAUUGAACCGCAUGGUUCAAUAGUGAAAGACGGUUUUGCUGUCACUUAUAGAUGGAUCCGCGCCGCAUUAGCUAGUUGGUAAGGUAACGGCUUACCAAGGCAACGAUGCGUAGCCGACCUGAGAGGGUGAUCGGCCACACUGGAACUGAGACACGGUCCAGACUCCUACGGGAGGCAGCAGUAGGGAAUCUUCCGCAAUGGGCGAAAGCCCGACGGAGCAACGCCGCGUGAGUGAUGAAGGUCUUCGGAUCGUAAAACUCUGUUAUUAGGGAAGAACAAAUGUGUAAGUAACUAUGCACGUCUUGACGGUACCUAAUCAGAAAGCCACGGCUAACUACGUG
rnacentral:rRNA from 1 species